rnacentral:rRNA from 1 species
AGUGAACGCUGGCGGCAGGCCUAACACAUGCAAGUCGAGCGGCAGCGCAGGCGUAGCAAUACGCUGGGCGGCGAGCGGCGGACGGGUGAGGAACACAUCGGAAUCUACCCUGUCGUGGGGGACAACGUAGGGAAACUUACGCUAAUACCGCAUACGACCUUCGGUGAAGUGGGGACCGGCAAGGCCUCACGCGAUUGGAUGAGCCGAUGUCCGAUUAGCUAGUUGGCGGGGUAAGAGCCCACCAAGGCGACGAUCGGUAGGCUGGUCUGAGAGGACGACCAGCCACACUGGAACUGAGACACGGUCCAGACUCCUACGGAGGCAGCAGUGGGGAAGU